rnacentral:rRNA from 1 species
GAUGAACGCUGGCGGCGUGCCUAAUACAUGCAAGUCGAGCGAACAGACGAGGAGCUUGCUCCUCUGACGUUAGCGGCGGACGGGUGAGUAACACGUGGAUAACCUACCUAUAAGACUGGGAUAACUUCGGGAAACCGGAGCUAAUACCGGAUAAUAUAUUGAACCGCAUGGUUCAAUAGUGAAAGACGGUUUUGCUGUCACUUAUAGAUGGAUCCGCGCCGCAUUAGCUAGUUGGUAAGGUAACGGCUUACCAAGGCAACGAUGCGUAGCCGACCUGAGAGGGGGAUCGGCCACACUGGAACUGAGACACGGUCCAGACUCCUACGGGAGGCAGCGGAGGGGAAUCUUCGGCAAGGGGCAAAGGCCGGACGGAGCAAGGCCGGGUGGGGGAGGAAGGUUUUCGGAUCGUAAAACUCUGUUAUUGGGGAGAAACAAAUGGGGAGGUAACUAUGCACGUCUUGACGGUACCUAAUCAGAAAGCCACGGCUAACUACGUG